UUAAAGAAACAAUCCCUACUCUCAAAUCUUAAUGCCCAUAUCUAAGAAAACAAUGACAUGGCAUCCCAUCACAACCGCAUAUUCCUUGUGAAUCUGAAUACCGUUCAAAUGGAGAAAUGAAAACGGAGCAUCCAGAUGUGCAGUGAAUAUUUUGUGUGACUCACAUCAGGAAUUGGCCUGAGCAUUGAGUUCAUCCCUUGUGCACUGCACUGAGGAGCUGUUCGCUCCGUGUCAUUAGUGCACCUGAUUUGCUGCAGUCCCUGCUUCAACUCAGGCCACAACUGGGUUGGUUAGAAACAAACAGCUUUCAAACCUGGGCUACCCAGGCAAUGUCCCUGAAAAAAUGUCAUACAUAGAGAGCUGCUUCUCCUGGACCUGGUCUCCACAAUGAGGAUGACUGGGUGGCUGGUCAAGAAUGAAAUUCACACCAGGGCGAGAUUCAGAAUCACAAGAGGGCUGGCAACAUGUCUGUCUGUCCACUGAGUGCUUGUUUCCCUUGUGAGAUGUGAGUACAUUCCCCAGCAAGCAUGGGAAAGAAGCAGCAGGCCUGCUGAGGCUUGCUACCAAGCACUUGGACAUAGAGACAAAGGUGCAUAUCCUUAUUGUUUUGUUAUUUAUUCAUUUAUUUUUAGACAGGCUUUCGCUGUUUGGCCCUGUCUCUAUAUCCAGACAAGCAUGACCCCCAAUUGUUUCAAUCAAGGCAUGCACCACCACCACCACUAUUGGCUACAGGUGCAUCCACCUUGCUGACCUGGAGAAAGGCUGUGUUGAAAACACAAGCUGUAACAGCAUCUGCGAAUUGACAUUUGAG
rnacentral:lncRNA from 1 species